CGGUGACAGGUGGUGCAUGGUUGUCGUCAGCUCGUGUCGUGAGAUGUUGGUUAAGUCCCGCAACGAGCGCAACCCCUAUUGUUAGUUGCCAUCAUUCAGUUGGGCACUCUAGCGAGACUGCCGGUAAUAAACCGGAGGAAGGUGGGGAUGCCGUCAAAUCAUCAUGCCCCUUAUGACCUGGGCUACACACGUGCUACAAUGGUUGGUACAACGAGUUGCGAGUCGGUGACGGCGAGCUAAUCUCUUAAAGCCAAUCUCAGUUCGGAUUGUAGGCUGCAACUCGCCUACAUGAAGUCGGAAUCGCUAGUAAUCGCGGAUCAGCACGCCGCGGUGAAUACGUUCCCGGGCCUU
rnacentral:rRNA from 1 species